rnacentral:rRNA from 1 species
AAUCAACGCUGGCGGCGUGCCUCAGACAUGCAAGUCGAACGAUUAAAGCUCCCUUCGGGGAGUGCAUAGAGUGGCGCACGGGUGAGUAACACGUAAGUAAUCUACCUUUGAGUGGGGAAGUAACGUUCGGAACGGACGCUAAUACCGCAUAAUGCAGCGGCAUCGCAAGAUGACAGUUGUUAAAGGAGCAAUCCGCUUAAAGAGGAGCUUGCGGCAGAUAGCUUGUUGGUAAGGUAACGGCUUACCAAGGCUACGAUCUGUAUCCGGUCUAAGAGGACGGUCGGACACACUGACACUGAAUAACGGGUCAGACUCCUACGGGAGGCAGCAGUCGGGAAUUUU